rnacentral:rRNA from 1 species
GGCGCACGGGUGAGUAACGCGUAGGUAAUCUACCCUUAUGACUGGGAUAACAUUGGGAAACUGGUGCUAAUACCGGAUACACUUUUUUACUGCGGGGUAAAGGAGGAAAGGUGGCCUCUUGGUCAAAGCUACCGUAUAGGGAUGAGCCUGCGUACCAUUAGCUAGUAGGUGGGGUAACGGCCCACCUAGGCGACGAUGGUUAGCGGGUCUGAGAGGAUGAUCCGCCACACUGGAACUGGAACACGGACCAGACUCCUACGGGAGGCAGCAGUGAGGAAUAUUGCGCAAUGGGGGAAACCCUGACGCAGCGACGCCGCGUGAGUGAGGAAGGUCUUCGGAUCGUAAAGCUCUGUCAGAAGGGAAGAAGUGUUACAUGUUUAAUACGCAUGUAAUUUGACGGUACCUUCAGAGGAAGCACCGGCUAACUCCGUGCCAGCAGCCGCGGUAAUACGGAGGGUGCUAGCGUUGUUCGGAAUUACUGGGCGUAAAGGGCGCGUAGGCGGCUGGAUAAGUCAGAUGUGAAAGUCCAUGGCUCAACUGUGGAAGUGCAUUUGAAACUGUCCGGCUUGAGUAUCGGAGGGGAGUGUGGAAUUCCC